AGCCAGACUCCUACGGGAGGCAGCAGUGGGGAAUAUUGCACAAUGGGGGAAACCCUGAUGCAGCGACGCCGCGUGAGUGAAGAAGUAUUUCGGUAUGUAAAGCUCUAUCAGCAGGGAAGAAAAUGGCGGUACCUGACUAAGAAGCCCCGGCUAACUACGUGCCAGCAGCCGCGGUAAUACGUAGGGGGCAAGCGUUAUCCGGAUUUACUGGGUGUAAAGGGAGCGUAGACGGCAUGGCAAGUCAGAUGUGAAAGCCCGGGGCUCAACCCCGGGACUGCAUUUGAAACUGUCAGGCUGGAGUGCAGGAGAGGUAAGUGGAAUUCCUAGUGUAGCGGUGAAAUGCGUAGAUAUUAGGAGGAACACCAGUGGCGAAGGCGGCUUACUGGACUGUAACUGACGUUGAGGCUCGAAAGCGUGGGGAGCAAACAGGAUUAGAUACCCUAGUA
rnacentral:rRNA from 1 species